rnacentral:rRNA from 1 species
GCUCAUACGAUGAAGAUUGAGAGCUCUUUCUUGAUCUUUUGGAUGGUGGUGCAUGGCCGUUCUUAGUUGGUGGAGUGAUUUGUCUGCUUAAUUGCGAUAACGAACGAGACCUCGGCCCUUAAAUAGCCCGGUCCGCAUUUGCGGGCCGCUGGCUUCUUAGGGGGACUAUCGGCUCAAGCCGAUGGAAGUGCGCGGCAAUAACAGGUCUGUGAUGCCCUUAGAUGUUCUGGGCCGCACGCGCGCUACACUGACAGGGCCAGCGAGUACAUCACCUUGGCCGAGAGGUCUGGGUAUCUUGUUAACCCUGUCGUGCUGGGGAAGAGCUUGCAUUAUUGCUCUUCACGAGGAUGCCUAGUAGGCACGAGUCAUCACUCGUGCCGAUUACUCCCUGCCCUUUGUACACACCGCCCGUCGCUACUACCGAUUGAUGGCUCAUGAGGCCUUGGGAUGGCUCAGAGGGUGGCACGACCCCCAGAGCGGAACUGUCAACUCGGUCUUUAAGGAAUAAAUCGAACAAGGUU